GCGCCNCUAACAUGCAAGUCGAACGGAGUUAUCAAUAGUGAAGCGAGUAGUUUACUAUGAGUGGAACAGUUGAUAACUUAGUGGCGGACGGGUGAGUAACGCGUGGGUAACCUGCCUCAUACAGGGGGAUAACACUUAGAAAUAGGUGCUAAUACCGCAUAAGCGCACAGGACCGCAUGGUCUGGUGUGAAAAAGAUUUCUGGUAUGAGAUGGACCCGCGUCUGAUUAGCUAGUUGGUAGGGUAACGGCCUACCAAGGCGACGAUCAGUAGCCGGCCUGAGAGGGUGUACGGCCACAUUGGGACUGAGACACGGCCCAAACUCCUACGGGAGGCAGCAGUGGGGAAUAUUGCACAAUGGGGGAAACCCUGAUGCAGCGACGCCGCGUGAGUGAAGAAGUAUUUCGGUAUGUAAAGCUCUACCAGCAGGAAAGAAAAUGACGGUACCUGACUAAGAAGCCCCGGCUAACUACGUGCCAGCAGCCGCGGUAAUACGUAGGGGGCAAGCGUUAUCCGGAUUUACUGGGUGUAAAGGGAGCGUAGACGGUGAAGCAAGUCUGGAGUGAAAACCCGGGGCUCAACCCCGGGAGUGCUUUGGAAACUGUUUGACUGGAGUGCAGGAGAGGUAAGUGGAAUUCCUAGUGUAGCGGUGAAAUGCGUAGAUAUUAGGAGGAACACCGGUGGCGAAGGCGGCUUACUGGACUGUAACUGACGUUGAGGCUCGAAAGCGUGGGGAGCAAACAGGAUUAGAUACCCCUGGUAGUCCACGCUGUAAACGAUGAUUACUAGGUGUCUGGGGUUUAUAAACCUUAGGUGCCGCAGCAAACGCNAUAAGUAAUCCACCUGGGGAGUACGUUCGCAAGAAUGAAACUCAAAGGAAAUUGACGGGGAACCNCCACAGCCGGUGGANCNUGUGGUUUAAUUCCAANGCAACNCGAAAANCCUUACCUGAUCUUGACAUCCCCCUGACGGCCGGUAAGCGCCCUUUCCUUCGGACCGGGAAAACGGUGGUGCAUGGUUGUCCUC
rnacentral:rRNA from 1 species